GCAUCGCCAAGAAAGAGAUCAAACAUACAGUGUAGAAAAGAGAUAAGUAGAGCUAGCUAGCUUUGCAUAUCUUGGCAUGGCGUUUACCAAGAGGAGCACAGGCGUGGUAUGCUUGGCGGCCCUCAUGGUGGUGAUGGCCACUGUGAUGCUGUCCUGUGAUGCCGAAUCAGAUAUCUGCUUUGAUAUUCCCGGACCAUGCGUGCAGUCGUUAUGCAAGGAUGCAUGUGCUAAAAAUAAUACCCCAAAUAGACCCCACUGCCAGCCCGUGACUGAUGAAUGCUGUUGUGACAUGGCCGCAAGGCCCGAGGUCGACGACGUCGUCCAUCAUGCUUGAUAACAUAACCUUGAAUCAUUAUUGGACAAACAUUGUCAGUGAUCAGGACAUGUAUAUGCAUGCAUGCAUGCAUGCGUGUCAGCAAUUGCAUUUUGAAUAACAAAAAACACAAAAGAGUAAAUCAUUAUUCUGAGUUUGA